AUGCUGCUCUUGUCUUCUCACUCCUUCUUCGUCAGGCUCUCCCCUCUCCCGGGACACGACACAACACUUGCCUACAAAGAGAACGAGACCCCACCCCAAUCAGCUGGCUACCCGGGAAUCAGUGAUCAAAGCACCAGAGCUCUGACUGGACAUGAAGAUCGGGAAGCAAGGCUGGAGAGGAAUGGCUGCAUUAACAGGGCAGGGUUUUAAGUAUCGUCCAGCGCAAUCCAGAGUCUAGAAUGCUGCCAGACUGCUCCCUGGGCGAGUGCCUCUUCUGAACACAGACAAGUGUCAGGAAGCAUGAAUGAGUUUUAGUUAUCCCCCUUGCUUGCAAUGUCUCUGGUGGGAAGAUCUGAGAAAGCUUGAAAAAUGACCCUUGGUUAAUUACAGCCACCUCCAAGACUGAUUACGUUGUGCUGUGGCCUGUCAUCAGUACCCUGAAACCUGGACUGAAGCCUCCAUGCUGACCUGAUCAUGCCUUGUCCAACAGGCAAUUUUUGCAGUGUGCCACCAUACAGAAAAAGUUACCAGCUAUUCCUUCAGGAAGUCCCAACAGGACCAAAUGACUUCUCCUUAUGUCAUUUUCCAAUUCAU